ACCAAAUUCUUGACGAAGACCGUCUUGUUUUCCGACUAUGAAUACAUAGCAUCUCAAGACGGUCUUGAACGAAUAAGACGAUCUUCACCAAGACGGUCUUAAGCACCGCCUUGAGACCUGACUAUGAAUACGGGCCGAAGACUGAGCUUGAGACGGUCUUAUUCGACGUUCGGUUAUGUUCGGAAUAUUUCCGAUGUAUCCCCCAAUAAGAUGCUCGGAUUUUAUUUCUCAGCCUGUGCAAGAUAUUCGUAUAGGCAUGCAGCUCUUGAGUAUUUUUAUAGUUUAUGAACACAACAACGUUAGCGCCACGUAGUGGAACUAAAAAACGGGAACAAAUCGCGUACAAUUUUUUGUAGUGGGUGUAUAGCUAUAAAACGAAGAAGAAGAAAAAGAAUUUUAUAUUGAAUCCCGGUGCAGACUUGCAAAAAAAUGCGCGUGAAAGGGACAACCUUUGAUCUUCAAAGUUCAAAAGAGCAACUUUAGUUCUAUUUACUGGCUGUAUUUAUAAUGUAUUGAAUAUUUUUACGUAGACAAAUUUUCAUAAGUAUUAUCGUAACUAUAAGACUGACGCUUAGUACAAUUACGUACAUAUCAGUAUUUUCAUGAGUAAGUGAGGGGUUUAAAAAUAAAAUGAGAACCAAUGAUAA
rnacentral:lncRNA from 1 species